GCUGGGCGUGGCGGCUCACGCCUGUAAUCCCAGCACUUUGGGAGGCUGAGGCGGGCUGAUCACUUGAGGUCAGGAGUUCGAGACCAGCCUGGCCAACACGGUGAAACCCCAUCUCUACUAAAAAUACAAAAAUUAGCCAGGUGUGGUGGUGAACAUCUGCAAUCCUAGCUACUCAGGAGGCUGAGGCAGGAGAAUCACUUGAACCUGGGAGGUGGAGGUUGCAGUGAAGUGAGAUUGUGCAACUCUACUCCAGCCUGGGCAACAGAGUGAGAUUCUGCCUCU
ensembl:misc_RNA Metazoa_SRP Metazoan signal recognition particle RNA